rnacentral:rRNA from 1 species
UUCCUACGGGGCGCAGCAGUGAGGAAUAUUGGUCAAUGGACGCAAGUCUGAACCAGCCAUGCCGCGUGCAGGAUGACGGCUCUAUGAGUUGUAAACUGCUUUUGUACGAGGGUAAACGCAGAUACGUGUAUCUGUCUGAAAGUAUCGUACGAAUAAGGAUCGGCUAACUCCGUGCCAGCAGCCGCGGUAAUACGGAGGAUUCAAGCGUUAUCCGGAUUUAUUGGGUUUAAAGGGCGCGUAGGCGGUCGGUUAAAUUAGCGGUGAAAUCUCGAGGCUCAACCUCGGAAUUGCCUCU